CUUUUUCUUUAAUUUCUGCAGCCCUCCCCACACGCACACCCCGAGGCGCGCCCCCCACCUACCCAGGCGCUGCGCGCCCUCCCCGUGCCCCCUGCUGGGCGAGCCGGGCCUCGGUGGGCGAGCACCGCCCGUGGGGAGCCGCGGGGGUCCCGGGGGUCGCCCUCCAGCGCCAGGAGCCCUCCCUGCUCCGCCAGGGCCACGGGCAGAGGCCGUGACGGGAAGGUGCCAUCCCGACCUCCGCUGAGGUUCCCCUUGGUCCCUCCUGCUCCAGCUCGACUCCUCCAAGCAGCCGAGGAACACGACGUGACAAAACCCUCACCACCGGUGCAACACCGGCGCUGGGUCCUGAAACGCGGAGACAUCAGGAGUGGGGAAAAUGGGUAGGAUCAGCAGUUCACCCUCCCUGUUGGUGUUGGAUUUACACACUGAUUAAAAUGCCAUUGGUACGGUUCUUCCUACCCCCUGUAGCAUCUCAGCGGUGCUUUGCAUUACCUUUGAUGUGCCUCACGUGCCGAGUGCCUCCCAGAGAGCAGCGGGGGAAGCUUCAAGAACGGUGUUCAAUAUGCACAAAGGCUGUCUCUGGAGAAGUUUAUCUUCGUGCAAAAAGAGAAUGGGGGAAAACAAAGACUGGGUGUCCCUGGGCAUUGCAGGUGGAGCUGAAUGUUGGAGCUCACCUCUCACCUCCUACCUGGGGUUUGGGCCCAGCUGUUUGACCAAGGAAGUGGCUGAUCCCCUGCUUGUGCACAAGGCAGAGGCCAGGCUCUGUCAAGGAGAUGCCAAGAGAAACCAGCCCCUGCCCCAGCCCAUGGUCCUGUGCAGAGAGGAACAGCUUUUUCUGGCUGGGUGUGAAGGCAGCGAGGGCUGGGGGGCUCAGGAGGCUCCAGCCCCUGAUUGGGCUCAUUCGCCAUGCAGCUGGCACUCCCCGAGGAGGAGCACGCGACUGCAGAGCUGACUGCUAAAACGCAUCCCGCUGCGAAGCAUCGCACAGAUUUGCAUAUAGUUCUUCAUCAGAAUUGAGACGUAUUUGUUUAAUUAGCACUGCUGUAACACCGGCUGGGCUGGAGGAGGUGCGGGUGAGCGGGCAGCUGGACCCCAGGCAUGUCAGGAGAACAGGACGCAGCCAUAGGGACAGCAUCAAAGGGUUCCCUGUGUGGCAUUGAGCAGCACAGUCAGCUCUCGGUGUGGCAGCAGGUCCAGCUGCAAAGCACGAAGCCCCUGCUUGGAGAUGAGCAGGGCACCAAACGGGGCUGAGACAUCCUCCCCGGGCAGCUGGAGGAUGUGGGUGCUUCGCUUCGGUGCUGCCUGCAGCAGCUGGGUCACCUUGCCCUGAGGUUUUUGAGCAAAGAGCCAAGGUACGGCCCGUGAGCUCGGUGAUGGAUAGAGAGGCAUUACAUGGGACAUGGGCCUGUCGUUAUCUGGCUUUUUGGCACCACAGAGGGGUCCCCGUGCCCUCAGCUGGUGCCAGGCAGCACGGCAGAGGGCAGGCUUUGGCUCCGGCAUCCUCAGCCACACAGCCUCCGUCGGGCAGGCAGAUUGAUAGGUGUCUGGCGGAAAACGUCCCGCUGAUAGCCCGAGAACAAAACGCAAACAGGGAGAAAUGACAGCUGCUCCUGUAGCUGUUCCAUCAUCGCUGCCGAUAGCAGCACGGCGCCUGCAGCUCCGCGAUUGAUGCGUCCCCGGGGACACCGGGAGCGCGGAUGCCACAAUCAGGGAGGAUAAAAGAAUCGCUGCUGGGACCCAGAGGAGGCUUCGGAUCCUUAUCGGGAACAAGAAGGACAUCAAUCUGGUGCCAGCACGGGCCUGUCAGGCGCAGCCCGCACACUCAGCACUGGUAGGACACAGCCCUUGCAGUGGUGUGGAGCAGCUCCUAAUGCCAUGUAAAGGACUCUGAUUAGUUUAAAGCAAAGCCUGGUAGCAGUUUCCAACAGCGUCUCGAGGAAAUUGCAUCGUGACCAUUUCAAUCUCCACUGCUGCUGCCCUCUGGAGAGCGCAGGCAAUAUUUCUCUCUCCGUUGGAACAAGUCGGUCCCUUUGACUUUUGUUUGCGCUCACCCUUCAGCUGAUGUAGGGCCGCUUAGCAGGCGAGGAGGUGUUUGGGAGCCAGCCUCCCCUGCGCUCAGAGCACACAGCUCACCCUCCGUGUCCCUAACUGGUGGCUCUGUUGCUCCUGGUGGCUGCCAGCACUGCUCCCCAGCAGCCCCACGCAUUGGGGACAUCAGUGCUGCUGUCACCCACACUUUUCCUGCUGGGGAGCUGCAGCAGGAGCGUGGGGCAGCAGCAAGCCUGUGCCCAGGCAGGCAGGAGAGGUGCCUGCGUGGGAUCUGGGCAAGGCUGCCCAAAGGUGCCCUCCCUGCCUGCUCCCCGCUUGCGCUCAUCAGCUGUGACUCCUGGCAGGAGAGCUCCAUCCGAGAGCGGGCCGGGAGCCACGGGCAGGUAAUUGCUAAAGCAAGCAGGGCCACGUUAAUUGAGGUGACGGCAGCCAGCAAUGUGCUCUCAGUUAAGCCUUGGCUCUGCCGCAGCCGGUGGGCAGGCACCGCGUGUCCCUGCCGUCCCCUCCCGUGCUGUGCCCUGCUGUCGGCUCCGUGGCCAGGGGACACGCUCCUCGCCGGCCACCCCUGCACCUUGUGGCACGAGGCAGCGUCUUGGGGACCCCCGUGCCAUGGGGGACCCGUGGAGCCAGGGCUGGCCCCGUGUCGGGGAGCAGGGAGGGGUGGGAUGCGGCUGUUAUGGCAACAGAGGCUCCGGAGAUGAAGGGAAGGAAAAAGGCAUGCUUUAAAGCACGUUUCCAUGGCAACAACCAUCUUCAAAGGCCUGGGUGAAAAAAAUAAAUAAAAUAAUUGGUAAAAAGAGGAGGUUUCCGUAGAGGGGGCACCUCUGUGGUGCUGGGGGAGUCAGACCGGGAGCGUGGGGCCUCCUGAGAGGGGAUGGGAGCUGGCAGAGAGGAGGGAGCAGAGCUGUGGGGUUUGGGGAUGGUGUGGUGCCCCCUUCCUCACCCACAUUUUGGUUUUGCGGCUGGGGCUGUGCUCUGUACACCACAGGCUCCAUCCUGCACACCACAGAGCACGGUUUUGGCCCCAACCACCGCCCUCACAGCCUCAUCACUCCCACCACAUCAUUUUGGGUUGUCCGAGCCCCCAGGUGAACCUGUCUUUGCUCACCUAGCCCCACUCACUGUCCCAAAAGCCCAGCUCUGCCAUCACAACCUGCUCCCUGCACUGGGGCACAGCUGGCAGCCUUCUUGCUGCCCGUAGCCUGCAGUGCUGAUAGCCACAGGUGGACCAAAGCCACUGCUUU